AGUGAACGCUGGCGGUAGGCCUAACACAUGCAAGUCGAACGGCAGCACAGGAGAGCUUGCUCUCUGGGUGGCGAGUGGCGGACGGGUGAGGAAUACAUCGGAAUCUACUCUGUCGUGGGGGAUAACGUAGGGAAACUUACGCUAAUACCGCAUACGACCUACGGGUGAAAGCAGGGGAUCUUCGGACCUUGCGCGAUUGAAUGAGCCGAUGUCGGAUUAGCUAGUUGGCGGGGUAAAGGCCCACCAAGGCGACGAUCCGUAGCUGGUCUGAGAGGAUGAUCAGCCACACUGGAACUGGGACACGGUCCAGACUCCUACGGGAGGCAGCAGUGGGGAAUAUUGGACAAUGGGCGCAAGCCUGAUCCAGCCAUACCGCGUGGGUGAAGAAGGCCUUCGGGUUGUAAAGCCCUUUUGUUGGGAAAGAAAUCCAGCUGGCUAAUACCCGGUUGGGAUGACGGUACCCAAAGAAUAAGCACCGGCUAACUUCGUGCAGCAGCCGCAGUAA
rnacentral:rRNA from 1 species